rnacentral:rRNA from 1 species
CCUACGGGAGGCAGCAGUGAGGAAUAUUGGUCAAUGGCCGGAAGGCUGAACCAGCCAAGCCGCGUGAAGGACGAAGGUGCCAAGCAUUGUAAACUUCUUUUGUCAAGGGACAAAAUCAGGCCCGAGAGCCUGACCGAGGGUACUUGAAGAAAAAGCAUCGGCUAACUGCGUGCCAGCAGCCGCGGUAAUACGGAGGAUGCGGGCGUUAUCCGGAUUUAUUGGGUUUAAAGGGUCCGUUGGCGGGGCGUUAAGCUAGCGGGAAAAGCCGCGGGGUUAAACCCCGUCAGGCCGUUGAAACUGGCUGUCUUGAGAUGUCGAGAGGUAUGCGGAAUGCGCGGUGUAGCGGUGAAAUGCGUAGAUAUUGCGCAGAACUCCGAUUGCGAAGGCAGCAUACCGGCGGCGAUCUGACGCUGAGGCACGAAAGCGUGGGUAUCGAACAGGAUUAGAUACCCUUGUAGUC